AGAAAACCGCCUGGUUUUCUUUUAAAAGAUGGCUCUGCUAUCACUUCUGGAUGGACCCGCGGCGCAUUAGCUGGUUGGUGAGGUAACGGCUCACCAAGGCGAUGAUGCGUAGCCGACCUGAGAGGGUAAUCGGCCACAUUGGGACUGAGACACGGCCCAGACUCCUACGGGAGGCAGCAGUAGGGAAUCUUCCACAAUGGACGCAAGUCUGAUGGAGCAACGCCGCGUGAGUGAAGAAGGGUUUCGGCUCGUAAAGCUCUGUUGUUAAAGAAGAACGUGGGUGAGAGUAACUGUUCACCCAGUGACGGUAUUUAACCAGAAAGCCACGGCUAACUACGUGCCAGCAGCCGCGGUAAUACGUAGGUGGCAAGCGUUAUCCGGAUUUAUUGGGCGUAAAGCGAGCGCAGGCGGUCUUUUAAGUCUAAUGUGAAAGCCUUCGGCUCAACCGAAGAAGUGCAUUGGAAACUGGGAGACUUGAGUGCAGAAGAGGACAGUGGAACUCCAUGUGUAGCGGUGAAAUGCGUAGAUAUAUGGAAGAACACCAGUGGCGAAGGCGGCUGUCUGGUCUGUAACUGACGCUGAGGCUCGAAAGCAUGGGUAGCGAACAGGAUUAGAUACCCUGGUAGUCCAUGCCGUAAACGAUGAUUACUAAGUGUUGGAGGGUUUCCGCCCUUCAGUGCUGCAGCUAACGCAUUAAGUAAUCCGCCUGGGGAGUACGACCGCAAGGUUGAAACUCAAAAGAAUUGACGGGGGCCCGCACAAGCGGUGGAGCAUGUGGUUUAAUUCGAAGCUACGCGAAGAACCUUACCAGGUCUUGACAUCUUCUGCCAACCUAAGAGAUUAGGCGUUCCCUUCGGGGACAGAAUGACAGGUGGUGCAUGGUUGUCGUCAGCUCGUGUCGUGAGAUGUUGGGUUAAGUCCCGCAACGAGCGCAACCCUUAUUACUAGUUGCCAGCAUUCAGUUGGGCACUCUAGUGAGACUGCCGGUGACAAACCGGAGGAAGGUGGGGACGACGUCAAAUCAUCAUGCCCCUUAUGACCUGGGCUACACACGUGCUACAAUGGAUGGUACAACGAGUUGCGAAACCGCGAGGUUUAGCUAAUCUCUUAAAACCAUUCUCAGUUCGGACUGUAGGCUGCAA
rnacentral:rRNA from 1 species